rnacentral:lncRNA from 1 species
AGGCGAGUUGCACAAACAAACUCAAGAACUCGAAUAGACCCCAAAGAACUAGGGUUUUCUAAAUCAGUUGAAUUCAGAGGCGAUAAAAAAAUAAAACAAAUAAACAGUCUUAGAAUCUCAAAUAAACCCCCAAAAUUAGGGUUUCAACACUAAUAUGGUGUAAACAAAGUAAAUCAAACAGAUAGACUGAGAAACUCAAACAAAUAUCCAAAAAUUAGGUUUUCGACACCUAUCAAACCUAGAGAUGAUAAACAAAUGAAUCGAACAAAAUAUUAACAAACAGACACAAAAACCCUAGUUUGAAAUAAAAAGAUUUUGAAAAGGAAAUUUGGGGAAAACGCUUCAAACAUCACAUAUAGCACAGAUCAAGC